CACUCUAUAGCUGUAGGUUCUCAUAGUACAACACUCAAACGUAGAACAAACAAGAGAGCCACAGGUCAAUACAGACACGUUUCAGUGUUCUUUAGCCUAACUUCAUCAUGGCCAGAAGAUCCUUCAUAUACAUCAAUCCAGCUUCUAAGGCAGCACGUCAGCGUAGACGACACAGUGAUAACAGCAGAAUGGAUGAGCAGAGAUGCACACUUCCACCUCCUCUUAAAGUAAGUUUGGUUGUGUAAAUCGAUAAAGUAUACAGCCAAAAGUGUGUGGACACCUGACCAUCAGACCCAAAUGUAGGGUUGAACAUCUCAUUCCAGACUUAGUUUGCCUUUGCUGUUAUAAAAACCUUCACUCUUCUGGGAAGGCUUUCCAGUAGGUUUUGGAGCGUGGCUGUGUGGAUUUGCCCAUUCAGCCAUAAGAGCAUUAGUGGGGUCAGGCACUGGUGUUGGACUAAGAGGCCUGGGGUGUAGUCGACAUUUCAGUUCAUCCCAAAGGUGUUCAUUGGGGUUGAGGGAAGGGCUCUGUGCAAGCCAAUCAAGUUCUUCCACACCGACCUUGGCAAACCUUAUCUUCUUGGACCUUGCUGGAACAGGUUUGGAACGCUUGUUUCCAGUGAAGAUAAAUUGUUAUGCUUUACAGCAUGCAAAGACAUUCUAUACAGGUGUCUGCUUCCAACUUUUGAGGUAACAGUUUGGGAAGGUCCACAUAUGGGUGUCCACAAACUUUUGGUCACAUACUGUCGAACACACACACUCCAUUUUUCUCCAUAUUUCCUGAGGUUUGAACUGUUGUCUUCAGUACAGUUUUAAAAUGCAGUGGCCUGCUCUCAAGUUAGACAGUGAGACAGCAACUCAAGGUUGUAUAUCAGUUAUAUAUAUAACAUAGGUAUUUUUGUAUAUGUAUGAUGCUUCAUCAUACUUACACAAAAAUACCUAUUUUAUACAUACAGUUUGAAGCCUUUCUUCAGUUUGCUAGAAGUGGCAGUGUAAGUAUUCUUACGUAUCUGUCACUGGCGUUCAUCUUUGGGAGGUCUUGCAGAAACCGAAUGUAUAAUAACGCUACUGCAGUGUGUGAAUGAAUCGGAAACGUAGGAGCAGUAUUAAGAAGAGCAAGGGGGUGUUUGUGCAGUGAACCCCUUCUAAGC
ensembl:lncRNA